ACUUCAGCAUGACAAAAAGAAUCUCUCAGGCCACAAAGAAGAGAACGCCCCAGUAUGAGUCAGUGUACAGUGACACUUUGCCUGGUUAACAUCUCAGGAAAUUGUGCUGUGGAUAUUUUUGCAUGUUUGUGUGU